UGGAACCGACUCUGGUUCUGUCAGGUCUGCUGAGGAACCCGGUUUCAGAAAUUGCAUGUUUAUAGGUGCGCAGAUAAUCACAGUGAGCCUGCAUGAAGAAAUGUCAUCAGCUCUGCAUUUCUAAAUUCAGGCACAGGCCGUGAAAAGACGAUCUUUUAAUUUUUUUUUUAUUUUCUGCUCUGAUGAACAUGUCGACGAGUUUGAGUCAUUUAUUCACGGAUUCACGACUUCCUUGCUGGUUUCUCGGCUGUCGGCCCUCAGAGAUCAGCUGGAUUUGAUUUGUGUUAAAUUCCUCCAUAGAAGCGAUUCUCCUCAGAAACCGGAUCCUGUCCGGUUUCAUCCGUGUGGUCUCUCCGCAGGAACACAUCCGGUCUCCAAGUACCUGGGAAGCAUCGACUACAGAUACAACAGUUUGUUCCAGGACGCCGCCUGGAGGGAGCUGUUCCUGCGGCCGGAGGCUCCCGCCGUCGCUCAGGAGAACCUGGACGUGGUGUCCCGGGUCACGCAGUACAUGGUGGGGGCCAACGGGGCCCACCAGCUGCCCGUCGCAGAGGCCAUGCUCACCUACAAGCAGAAAAGGAAAAAGAGCUUUCAUUUUGAUUUUGCCGUCAGGUAUUGUGGUCGAUGGAUUUGUUCUCAUGUAGCCUGAAGAUUCAUGAGCCUCUGUGUGACGAUUCCCCCUCAGACCACGCCCCUUUAGUGGAGGACGCCACUUUAUCAGCUUCAGCUCAUCGGAACACGUUUAAUCCUCCAGAUCUUCCUGAAGAUCUGCUCAGAUCCAGAAGCUCAGAUGCAGCCAAACAGAACUGUAUUAUAAAACUGGGAAAACGGACUAAACUCGAUCUAUAACUGUAUUUUACUCAGACGUAAAACAUGUUUUUAGGUUUUAUCACAGAAAACAAACAUCAUAAACUUCUGCUUUAAAGCUU